rnacentral:rRNA from 1 species
AACCUUUAGCCAAACAAGUAUUAAAGGCAACGCCUGCCCAGUGAACAAUUAAACGGCCGCGGUACCCUAACCGUGCAAAGGUAGCGUAAUCACUUGUCUAUUAAUUGUAGACCCGUAUGAAAGGCAAAAUGAGGGCCCAACUGUCUCUUAUAAUAAAUCAAUUAAACUGAUCCCCCGGUCAAAAAGCCGGGAUUCCCCCAUAAGACCAGAAGACCCUGUGAAGCUUAAACCAAACUAUUAACCCAAAUAAUAACUACUUUCGGUUGGGGCGACCUUGGAAAAAAAAAGAACUUCCAAAUCCGUGACUUCACUCACACCCAAAAGGCACACAUGCCAAAACAAGACCCAGCACAGCUGACAAUUGAACCAAGUUACUCCAGGGAUAACAGCGCUAUCUUCUUCAAGAGCCCAUAUCAAAAAGAAGGUUUACGACCUCGAUGUUGGAUCAGGACAUCCUAAUGGUGCAGCCGCUAUUAAGGGUUCGUUUGUUCAACGAUUAACAGUCCU